rnacentral:lncRNA from 1 species
AAUAGACUAGCAGAAUUUGAUAAAAUAAAAGAUAAAUGCUGUUUUAAACAGAGGUUUUUCACUACAAUCUCUACUAGAUCAAAGGAUAAUUGUUUUCUGUUAGCAAACAAAAACGUUGCUUUUAUUAGAGAAAUAAAAAAUUGUGGAAAAUAUGUAUGUGAUGUGGUGAAAAUUUGUGAUAUAGAUAAUAUAUUUACCUCACCAGCAGAAUCCAAAAUAUUUCAGAUUGGUGUUGUUCAUAGUUUUACUAGAGCAAUGAGAAGAAUUGUGGAAAGACAUGAACUUCAAAAAAAAGUUGUGUCACUUCCAUACAAAGGAGGUUAUGCUCUAUUCCCAAUGCUUCAUGAUGCUGAACAGUAAUAGCGCUAUGGUUUAUCUUUGAACUGCAAAAAAUGGAUGCGUGCAGUUUGGUUAGAGAGAAGUACCGAGGAAGAGAGAGUCAUACCGAGCGCUUGGGUAGUUGGUGAUUUUGUAUGGUGGCCUUCAGGCGUAAAUGUUAUGAAAGCCUUUUAUUAGAGAGACCAACCAACAAAUGAUUGGCUAAAAUUUAAGUUGUUAAAAAUUAAAUUUUCAUCAGGUUAGAAGAAUUGCUAAAGUUGGUGGUGUGAAUGUAAAAGAAAAUAUUGCAAAUGUUUUAAAUAGGCUGAUGAAUAAUCAUCUGAUGAGUGAUUUCAAUAUGAAGGGUAAGCAUAGAAAGCAGCCCUUUGGUGUUACUUGCCUUUAUAAAAUAAUAAAAACAAACGCUCUUAAUUUAAACAAUUGCAAUGAGAAGGAUGUCGACGAUGCCAUUUCAAAACACCUUAGCAUGCGCCAAAGAGAAAAGGUGGACGUAAAUUCACCGAAAAAAAUGUUUUAUAACGAUAUUUUGAAAUGUUUAUGUAACGUAUUUGUUUAUAAAUGUAUUAAAAUACAGUUAUAUUUUUAGUCAAUAUAUAUUUCU